AGAGUUUGAUCCUGGCUCAGAGCGAACGCUGGCGGCAGGCCUAACACAUGCAAGUCGAACGAACUCUUCGGAGUUAGUGGCGGACGGGUGAGUAACACGUGGGAACGUGCCUUUAGGUUCGGAAUAACUCAGGGAAACUUGUGCUAAUACCGAAUGUGCCCUUCGGGGGAAAGAUUUAUCGCCUUUAGAGCGGCCCGCGUCUGAUUAGCUAGUUGGUAAGGUAAUGGCUUACCAAGGCUACGAUCAGUAGCUGGUCUGAGAGGAUGACCAGCCACAUUGGGACUGAGACACGGCCCAAACUCCUACGGGAGGCAGCAGUGGGGAAUCUUGCGCAAUGGGCGAAAGCCUGACGCAGCCAUGCCGCGUGUAUGAUGAAGGUCUUAGGAUUGUAAAAUACUUUCACCGGUGAAGAUAAUGACUGUAGCCGGAGAAGAAGCCCCGGCUAACUUCGUGCCAGCAGCCGCGGUAAUACGAAGGGGGCUAGCGUUGCUCGGAAUUACUGGGCGUAAAGGGAGCGUAGGCGGACAUUUAAGUCAGAGGUGAAAUCCCGGAGCUUAACUUCGGAACUGCCUUUGAUACUGGGUGUCUUGAGUGUGAGAGAGGUAUGUGGAACUCCGAGUGUAGAGGUGAAAUUCGUAGAUAUUCGGAAGAACACCAGUGGCGAAGGCGACAUACUGGCUCAUUACUGACGCUGAGGCUCGAAAGCGUGGGGAGCAAACAGGAUUAGAUACCCUGGUAGUCCACGCCGUAAACGAUGAUUGCUAGUUGUCGGGAAGCUUGCUUCUCGGUGACGCA
rnacentral:rRNA from 1 species